rnacentral:lncRNA from 1 species
GCGAGGUUGCGGCCUAAAAGUUCUUCCAACAUCCGUUGGUCUGAACUGCCUUUCAAAAGGCGGUCCUCUAUAGAAUGAUGUACCUCGUCCUCUGCCAGGCUGAACGUUUGGGAAGAAAACAGGGCGACGAGGAUGCUGCCAUGUCUCCGGUUUCUCCGUAUUUCCAUUUACUUCCCUUUUACACCUUGCACACAGGACGUUUUCGUCCUUUUUUGGUUCUUUUCCUUUGAUACGUUCAAAGACACUGGGAUGUGGUUUAUGAUCUUCUUCUCCGUCAUCUAUGACUAACUUGAAUUUUGGUAACUUGUUCUUGAAUCCAGAUGUUACCAUGUUUACCCCAAG